GUAUUGGCUCUAGCUACUUGCAUCAUUGUACAGAUGAUGCAAGAUCGACUAUGUCGAAUAAAAUUCUAGGUAGAAUUAUGAUAAUGACAUUGUCUGCCUAUGUGUCUUGACCAAAUUACGUGCCAGCAGUCGCGGUAAUACGUAGAAGACUAGUGUUAUUCAUGUUUAAUCGGUUUAAAGGGUACCUAGACGGUAGAUCAAGCUUUUACAUAUAAAUUAUGUUAAUUAAAGGACUAAUUUGCUAGAGUUACUUACGAGGGGGUAUUAAAGUACUGCUGGUGUAGAGAUGAAAUUCUGUCAUACCUCUUUUCGAAAGAAAAAUCAUGGCACAGGUAUAGGCGAAGGCAUCCCCUUAUGUGAUAACUGACGUUGAGGGACGAAGGCUUUGUGUAACAAACAGGAUUAGAUACCCUAGUAGUUGAAGCAGAAAAUGAUGAAUGUCAUAGAUUAGAUAUAUAAGUUUAUUCUAUAAAUGAAAGUGUAAGCAUUCCACCUCAGGAGUAAUUUGGCAACAUUGGAAUUGAAAUCAUUAGACCGUUUCUGAAACCAGUAGUGAAGUAUGUUGUUUAAUUUGAUGAUCCGCAAAAAA
rnacentral:rRNA from 1 species